GCAGUGGGGAAUAUUGCACAAUGGGCGGAAGCCUGAUGCAGCAACGCCGCGUGCGGGAUGACGGCCUUCGGGUUGUAAACCGCUUUCGCCUGUGACGAAGCGUGAGUGACGGUAAUGGGUAAAGAAGCACCGGCUAACUACGUGCCAGCAGCCGCGGUGAUACGUAGGGUGCGAGCGUUGUCCGGAUUUAUUGGGCGUAAAGGGCUCGUAGGUGGUUGAUCGCGUCGGAAGUGUAAUCUUGGGGCUUAACCCUGAGCGUGCUUUCGAUACGGGUUGACUUGAGGAAGGUAGGGGAGAAUGGAAUUCCUGGUGGAGCGGUGGAAUGCGCAGAUAUCAGGAGGAACACCAGUGGCGAAGGCGGUUCUCUGGGCCUUUCCUGACGCUGAGGAGCGAAAGCGUGGGGAGCGAACAGGCUUAGAUACCCUGGUAGUCCACGCUGUAAACGGUGGGUACUAGGUGUGGGGUCCAUUCCACGGGUU
rnacentral:rRNA from 1 species